rnacentral:tRNA from 1 species
GGAGGGUUGGCUGAAAUGGCUAAAGCGCCGGUUUCGAAAAUCGGUGGGAGAAAUCCCUUGCAGGUUCGAGUCCUGUACCCUCCGCCA